rnacentral:rRNA from 1 species
UAAUACGGGGGGAGCAAGCGUUGUUCGGAUUUACUGGGCGUAAAGGGCGCGUAGGCGGCGCCGCAAGUCACUUGUGAAAUCUCCGGGCUCAACUCGGAACGGUCAAGUGAUACUGCGGUGCUAGAGUGCGGAAGGGGCAACUGGAAUUCUUGGUGUAGCGGUGAAAUGCGUAGAUAUCAAGAGGAACAUCUGCGGCGAAGGCGGGUUGCUGGGCCGACACUGACGCUGAGGCGCGAAAGCUAGGGGAGCGAACGGGAUUAGAUACCCCGGUAGUCCUAGCCUUAAACGAUGAAUGCUUGGUGUCCGGAGUUAGAUAGUCUCCGGGUGCCGUCGCUAACGCUUUUAGCAUUCCGCCUGGGGAGUACGGUCGCAAGACU